GUCCUUUUGAAAAUUAUUUAAGGUCUAAUCUGCUCAAUGAAAAAUUAAAUAGCCGCAGUAUUUUAACUGUGCGAAGGUAGCGUGAUAAUUAGUUUCUUAAUUAGAAACUUGUAUGAAUGAUUUGACAAGAAAAUUUCUGUCUCUUUUUAAUUAUUUAUUAAUUUAACUUUUAAGUUAAAAGGCUUAAAUGUUUAUAAAAGACGAGAAGACCCCAUAGAGUUUGAUUUUUUAUGUUAUUUUGGAAUAACUUUUGUAUUUAAAAAAAUUAGUUGGGGUAACUUAAAGAUAAAAUAAAUUCUUUAAAUAUAAAAUCAUUGAUUUAUGAAUUUAAAAUCUAAAUUAUUAAAUUUAAAUAAAGUUACCUUGGGGAUAACAGCGUAAUUUCUUUUUAGAGUUCUUAUCAAAGAAGAAGAUUGCGACCUCGAUGUUGGAUUAAAAUAAAAUUUAGGUGUAGAAGCUUAAAUG
rnacentral:rRNA from 1 species